rnacentral:rRNA from 1 species
UACGUAGGGUGCGAGCGUUAAUCGGAAUUACUGGGCGUAAAGCGUGCGCAGGCGGUUCGUUGUGUCGGCGGUGAAAGCCCCGGGCUCAACCUGGGAAUGGCCGUUGAAACUGGCGAACUAGAGUGUGGCAGAGGGGGGUGGAAUUCCACGUGUAGCAGUGAAAUGCGUAGAGAUGUGGAGGAACACCGAUGGCGAAGGCAGCCCCCUGGGCUAACACUGACGCUCAUGCACGAAAGCGUGGGGAGCAAACAGG